rnacentral:rRNA from 1 species
ACUCCUACGGGAGGCAGCAGUAGGGAAUAUUGGGCAAUGGACGAGAGUCUGACCCAGCCAUGCCGCGUGCAGGAAGAAGGCCUUCUGGGUUGUAAACUGCUUUUGAUCGGGAACAAAAAGCCCUUGCGAGGGAAAUUGAGUGUACCGAUAGAAUAAGCACCGGCUAACUCCGUGCCAGCAGCCGCGGUAAU